rnacentral:tRNA from 1 species
GCCCAAGUGGUGGAAUGGUAGACACCGUAGACUCAAAAUCUACUGCAGCGAUGCGUGCAGGUUCAAGUCCUGUCUUGGGUACCA